rnacentral:pre_miRNA from 1 species
AGCCCUCUGUAUCCGUGCUGAGAUUUCGUCAGAGAUCAACCCGUUGGCUGAUGGUACUUCCCAAAUAAAUGAAGCG